GAAAUGCGAUACGUAAUGUGAAUUGCAGAAUUAUGUGAAUCAUCGAAUCUUUGAACGCACAUUGCGCUUUCUAGCUUGCUAGGAAGCAUGCCUGUUUGAGUAUCAGUAUUACCUCUCACUCCUUCUGGGUUUUUCAUACACAGGAAGAGUGGACUUGGGCUUGCCUCGUGCUAGGCUGGCCUAAAAUUCAGAGACCGCAACUUAUUACACGCGACAAGGUGUGUUGGGUAUCUUGUAUACACGGCACUGCGUCACAUCAAUAAGUCUUUGGUGUCUAGGCAGGAAAUACUUUAACUCUUGAUCUCAAAUCAGGCAAGAUUACCCGCUGAACUUAA
rnacentral:misc_RNA from 1 species